AUUGAACGCUGGCGGCAGGCCUAACACAUGCAAGUCGAGCGGAUGAAGGGAGCUUGCUCCUGGAUUCAGCGGCGGACGGGUGAGUAAUGCCUAGGAAUCUGCCUGGUAGGGGGGUAUAACGUCCUGAAACAGGCGCUAAUACCGCAUACGUCCUGAGGGAGAAAGUGGGGGAUCUUCGGACCUCACGCUAUCAGAUGAGCCUAGGUCGGAUUAGAUAGUUGGUGGGGUAAAGGCCUACCAAGCCGACGAUCCGUAACUGGUCUGAGAGGAUGAUCAGUCACACUGGAACUGGGACACGGUCCAGACUACUAAGGGAGGCAGCAGUGGGGAAUAUUGGACAAUGGGCGAAAGCAUGAUCCAGCCAUGCCGCGUGUGAGAAGAAGGUCUUCGGAUUGUAAAGCACUUUAAGUUGGGAGGAAGGGCAGUAAGUUAAUACGUUGCUGUUUUGACGUUACCAACAGAAUAAGCACCGGCUAACUUCGUG
rnacentral:rRNA from 1 species